AGAGCGAACGCUGGCGGCAGGCCUAACACAUGCAAGUCGAGCGCCCCGCAAGGGGAGCGGCAGACGGGAGAGUAACACGUGGGAACGUACCCUUCAGUUCGGAACAACCCAGGGAAACUUGGGCUAAUACCGGAUACGUCCGUAAGGAGAAAGAUUUAUCGCUGAAGGGUCGGCCCGCGUCUGAUUAGCUAGUUGGUGGGGUAAUGGCCCACCAAGGCGACGAUCAGUAGCUGGUCUGAGAGGAUGAUCAGCCUCAUUGGGACUGAGACACGGCCCAAACUCCUACGGGAGGCAGCAGUGGGGAAUAUUGGACAAUGGGCGCAAGCCUGAUCCAGCCAUGCCGCGUGGAUGAUGAAGGCCUUAGGGUUGUAAAGUCCGUUUCGGCGGGAAGAUAAUGACGGUACCCGCAGAAGAAGCCCCGGCUAACUUCGUGCCAGCAGCCGC
rnacentral:rRNA from 1 species